UACGAGUCAUGGGACGAUGUGCCUGAGUCUAUGAGGGACCAUAUCUUGGAGGAAGUACAGCGCUAUUUUGCGAUGGACCAGUACUUAGAGCUUGAUGAGGACGACCCCACCCGGAAGGCAGCAAAACUGGCUUUCCGUGCUGAUGCAGCUAGCAUAUAUAGGCAGAGAAAGUCAAAAUUCAAAUCUCAGCAUUUUACAGCACGGGGGGGUGUAGGCGCAGCAGAUACCCUGCAGACAGCACCGCCAGCUGGUAUGGACCCGGAAGAGUGGGGAAAACUAUUGCGUUUCUAUACGAGGGAUGACCGGGUCAAGCGGGCCGAGACAAACAAGACAAACCGGUCCAAACAGGCGGUGGGGACUUAGGGUCGGCGAUCUAUUUCUCUUGCCCACGAUCGGGCGUUGGCCAAGCACCAUAACGAAAAGAAGGAGGGGCCACCGCCCACGUGGGAGUCGACUUGGGCGGCAACCCACAGACUACAACCUCCGAAA